rnacentral:rRNA from 1 species
CGUACUGAGACACGGACCAGACUCCUACGGGAGGCAGCAGUGAGGAAUAUUGGACAAUGGGAGCAAUCCUGAUCCAGCCAUGCCGCGUGCAGGAAGACUGCCCUAUGGGUUGUAAACUGCUUUUAUACAGGAAGAAAAAGCCCGACGUGUCGGGUGUUGACGGUACUGUAAGAAUAAGGAUCGGCUAACUCCGUGCCAGCAGCCGCGGUAAUACGGAGGAUCCAAGCGUUAUCCGGAAUCAUUGGGUUUAAAGGGUCCGUAGGCGGGACAAUAAGUCAGUGGUGAAAGUCUGCAGCUCAACUGUAGAAUUGCCAUUGAUACUGUUGUUCUUGAGUGCUUGUGAAGUGGUUAGAAUGAGUAGUGUAGCGGUGAAAUGCAUAGAUAUUACUCAGAAUACCGAUUGCGAAGGCAGAUCACUAACAAUUCACUGACGCUGAUGGACGAAAGCGUAGGUAGCGAACAGGAUUAGAUACCCUGGUAGUCUACGCCGUAAACGAUGGUUACUAGCUGUUCGGACCAAUUGAGGUCUGAGUGGCUAAGCGAAAGUGAUAAGUAACCCACCUGGGGAGUACGUUCGCAAGAAUGAAACUCAAAGGAAUUGACGG